AUUGAACGCUGGCGGCAUGCUUUACACAUGCAAGUCGAACGGUAACAGGCCGCAAGGUGCUGACGAGUGGCGAACGGGUGAGUAAUGCAUCGGAACGUGCCCAGUCGUGGGGGAUAACGCAGCGAAAGCUGCGCUAAUACCGCAUACGAUCUAUGGAUGAAAGCGGGGGACCGGAAGGCCUCGCGCGAUUGGAGCGGCCGAUGUCAGAAUAGGUAGUUGGUGGGGUAAAGGCUCACCAAGCCAACGAUCUGUAGCUGGUCUGAGAGGACGACCAGCCACACUGGGACUGAGACACGGCCCAGACUCCUACGGGAGGCAGCAGUGGGGAAUUUUGGACAAUGGGCGCAAGCCUGAUCCAGCAAUGCCGCGUGCAGGAAGAAGGCCUUCGGGUUGUAAACUGCUUUUGUACGGAACGAAACGGCUCUCACUAAUACUGGGGGCUAAUGACGGUACCGUAAGAAUAAGCACCGGCUAACUACGUGCCAGCAGCCGCGGUAAUAC
rnacentral:rRNA from 1 species